rnacentral:rRNA from 1 species
GUAGGCCUCAAGUGAUGUGUGACAACCC